UAACAGAGGGUUCGAUUAUGAAGCUCAGAUUGAACGCUGGCGGGAUGCUUACAUAAGUCGAACGGCAGCACGGACUUCGGUCUGGUGGCGAGUGGCGAACGGGUGGUAAUAUGGAACGUGUGCCUAGUAGCGGGGGAUAACUACGCGAAAGCGUAGCUAAUACCGCAUACGCCCUUCGGGGGAAAGCGGGGACCUUCCGGGCCUCGCACUAUUAAACAGCCAAAUAUCGGAUUAGCUAGUUGGUGGGGUAACGGCUCACCAAGGCGCGAUCGUAGCUGGUUUGAGAGGACGACCAGCCACACUGGGACUGGGGAACACGGCCCAGACUCCUGCAAACAACAGUGGGGAAUUUUGGACAAUGGAAACCUGAUCCAGCCAUCCCGCGUGUGCGAUGAAGGCCUUCGGGUUGUAAACUGCGCUGGCGAGGAAAAACAGCGGGAUAUUACCCGCUCCGCAGCAGCGGUACCUGCAGAAUAAGCACCGGCUAACUACGUGCCAGCAGCCGCGGUGUACGUGGUGCAAGCGUUAAUCGGAAUUACUGGGCGUAAAGCGUGCGCAGGCGGUUCGGAAAGAAGGAUGUGAAAUCCCAGAGCUUGCUGGAGCCAUUUUUAACUACCGAGCUAGGGUGUGUCAGAGGAAGUGGAAUUCCGCGUGUAGCAGUGAAAUGCGUAGAUAUGCGGAGGAACACCGAUGGCGAAGGCAGCCUCCUGGGAUAACACUGACGCUCAUGCACGAAAGCGUGGGAGCAAACAGGAUUAGAUACCCUGGUAGUCCACGCCCCCUUGAUGUCAACUAGCUGUUGGGGCCUUCGGGCCUUGGUGAAAAGACAGCUAACGCGUGAAGUUGACCGCCUGGGAAGUACGGUCGCAAGAUUAAAACUCAAAGAAUUUGACGGGGACCCGCACAAGCGGUGGAUGAUGUGGAUUAAUUCGAUGCAACACUUGAAAAACCUUACCUACCCUUGACAUGUGUCUGGAAUCCGGUUUGGGAGUGCUCGCAAAGAGAACCGGAACUACAGGUGCUGCAUGGCUGUCGUCAGCUCGUGUCGUGAGAUGUUGGGUUAAGUCCCGCAACAGGCACAGACCUUAUCAUUAGUUGCUACGAAAGGGCACUCUAAUGAGACUGCAAUGACUCUUGACCGGAGGAAGGUGAGGAUGACGUCAAGUCCUCAUGUGCUGCGGGUAGGGCUUCACACGUCAUACAAUGGUCGGGACAGAGGGUCGCCAACCCACGCGAGGAGACAAUCCCGAAACGAUCGUAGUCCGGAUCGCAGUCUGCAACUCGACUGCGUGAAGUCGGAAUCGCUAGUAAUCGCGGAUCAGCAUGUCGCGGUGAAUACGUUCCCGGGUCUUGUACACACCGCCCGUCACACCAUGGGAGUGGGUUUUACCAGAAGUAGUUAGCCUAACCGUAGGAGGGCGAUUACUGCAGUAGGAUUCAUGACUGGGGUGAAGUCGUAACAAGGUAA
rnacentral:rRNA from 1 species